AACCCGCAGAGGGGAGUGGAAAUCCAGAUCUUUGCCAAGUCUCUCGCGCCGGUUUACAAUGGAAAAGGACGUGGCAAAUACUCUCCUCCUGCAAAACAUCUCGUGCACGUCUUAUCCAAAGCGAUACCUCGGGUGCUAAGUCGUUGACGGACAGCUAAUGCUCCAGAUAACGCUCUCCACAUAAAGUGCUUGAGCUUUGGGGG
rnacentral:lncRNA from 1 species